CCCUUAGAUGUUCUGGGCCGCACGCGCGCUACACUGAAGGGAUCAGCGUGUUUUCCCUUCCCGAGAGGGACGGGUAACCCGCUGAACCCCCUUCGUGGUAGGGAUCGGAGCUUGCAAUUGUUCUCCGUGAGCCAGGAAUUCCCAGUAAGCGCAAGUCAUAAGCUUGCGUUGAUUACGUCCCUGCCCUUUGUACACACCGCCCGUCGCUACUACCGAUUGAACGUUUUAGUGAGGUAUUUGGACUGGGCCUUGGGAGGUUUCGGCCUCCCUUGUUGCUCGGAAAGACUCCCAAACUUGAGCGUUUAGAGGAAGUAAAAGUCGUAACA
rnacentral:rRNA from 1 species